GACGUGUAACAGUGGCAAUUAUAUGUUUAAUGGUGUUAUGUAGGAAAAGUGCAGAGGCCACGGACAAGAUCCAGUUGCAGGAGUAUUGAACAUGGAGACACCCCUGGCAUCAAACUAGCAGUUAGCACACGUGAUGAUUUGAUUUUGGCAUGAGAGAAACUAAAAGCCCAUACCAAUAUCACUACAGAGUAGUAGUUAUAACAAGAAAAAGGCCACAAG